GACGAACGCUGGCGGCGUGCUUAACACAUGCAAGUCGAGCGGAAAGGCCACUUCGGUGGUACUCGAGCGGCGAACGGGUGAGUAACACGUGAGUAAUCUGCCCUUGGCUUUGGGAUAGCCACCGGAAACGGUGAUUAAUACCGGAUACGACCACUUCUCGCAUGGGAUGGUGGUGGAAAGUUUUUCGGCCAGGGAUGUGCUCGCGGCCUAUCAGCUUGAUGGUGAGGUAAUGGCUCACCAUGGCUUCGACGGGUAGCCGGCCUGAGGGGGUGACCGGUCACACUGGGACUGAGACACGGCCCAGACUCCUACGGGAGGCAGCAGUGGGGAAUAUUGGACAAUGGGCGGAAGCCUGAUCCAGCAACGCCGCGUGAGGGAUGACGGCCUUCGGGUUGUAAACCUCUUUCGGUGGGGACGAAGCGCAAGUGACGGUACCCACUAAAGAAGCACCGGCCAACUACGUGCCAGCCGCCGCAGUAAGAC
rnacentral:rRNA from 1 species